GGAGUGCUCAGCUCCGGGAGCGUCGCGUUCGCAAUGCGAAGAUCGGAGGUUCGGCCCUUCCCUCUCCA
rnacentral:tRNA from 1 species